rnacentral:rRNA from 1 species
UACGUAGGCAGCAAGCGUUGUUCGGAAUUACUGGGCGUAAAGAGUGUGUAGGCGGUGCUCUAAGUCUGUUGUGAAAUCUCCCGGCUUAACCGGGAGGGUGCGGCGGAAACUGGAGUGCUUGAGGGUGGGAGAGGUAAGGCGGAAUUCCUGGUGUAGCGGUGAAAUGCGUAGAUAUCAGGAGGAACACCUGUGGUGUAGACAGCUUACUGGACCACUUCUGACGCUGAGACACGAAAGCGUGGGUAGCAAACAGG